UAGCCGUAAACGAUACUCGCUAGGUGUCGGCCACGGUGCGACCGUUGUCGGUGCCGUAGGGAAGCCGUGAAGCGAGCCACCUGGGAAGUACGGCCGCAAGGCUGAAACUUAAAGGAAUUGGCGGGGGGAGCACCACAACGGGUGGAGCUUGCGGUUUAAUUGGAUUCAACGCCGGAAAUCUUACCGGGACCGACAGCAACAUGAAGGCCAGGCUGAAGACUUUGCCGGAUUAGCUGAGAGGAGGUGCAUGGCGUCAGUGACU
rnacentral:rRNA from 1 species